CCAUGUCCACCUCGUUGUCGAAGUGGCCAAUGUUGCCGACAAUGGCGUUGUUCUUCAUCUUGGCCAUGUGCUCAGCCAUGAUGAUGUCCUUGUUGCCGGUGGUGGUGAUGAAGAUGUCGGCGGUCUCCAGGCAGUCCUCCAGGGGCUGGACCUGUGGGGCGAAGGCAAGGGGGAUGGGGAGGAGCGGGUCAGCGCAUUGCACUUUAACGUAGCAGGACGGGACGAGAUGCGUAUACCAAGUGCGGCACUUGCUGCGAAUGCCGCCACAUACACAAACCUCUACUUUCUUACAUGAAGUGUCCAGGGUUCCCUUUUAAGAAUCGGCGUGAACCCCGUCCUUCCGUCCACUUCCACCUGCCAAUCCCUGCCUACCUGGUAGCCCUCCAUGGCGGCCUGCAGCGCGCAGAUGGGGUCGAUCUCCGACACAAUGGUGCGGGCACCGGCGGCCUUCAUGGCGCUGGCGCAGCCCUUGCCCACAUCACCGUAGCCGGCGAUGAAGGCGGUCUUGCCGGCAAUCAUCACGUCAGUGGCGCGCAUGAUGCCGUCGGGCAGCGAGUGGCGGCAGCCGUACACGUUGUCGAACUUGGACUUGGUGACGGAGUCGUUCACGUUGAUGGCGGGGAACAGCAGGCUGCCGUUAGCCUGCAUCUCAUAGAGGCGCUUCACGCCGGUGGUGGUCUCCUCAGACACGCCCAUCACCUUCUUGGACAUGCUGUGGGAGGGUGGAACGGGCGAGGGUGGAACGAGGAGGUUUAGCAUGGGCGUAGGGCCGGCUGCGGGAGACACGCACAAGCACUACAGACACUUGAGUCUCAAACUGGAGGUCUUCCUUAUUGUACAUUUGCAUCCACGCUCCCAUGCUGCUCAUGCAUCGCACAGCUUGGUCCGAGGAUCCAUCCAUAUCUGCUAAGACUGACUUCUUGCUUCUGCGACUCACCGGGUCCACUUGGUGGCGUCCUUCUGGAUGGAGUCGCGGAUCAGGCCCAGCACAAUCUUGAACUCGGCGUUGUCGGUCGAGUCGGGGUUGGGCAGGGUGCCGUCCUUAGCGUACUGCUCCUCAGCCUUCAGGCCCUCUGUGAUAGGAGGGAACAGGAGAGGGAGGAGGGAGCAGGGAAGGGUGAGCGAUAGAUUGAGAAUGGGAUGAAGCAGCAUGGUGCAGACAGGGCCAUGCAGUAGCACAGCUUCCAUCAGACCGUACAGGCUGCCGCUUGUAGCAGCCAGGGCAGGAGGACAGGCGCUUCAAAGGGGCCAACGCCACGCGAGGAUGACACGCACCGUGGAUGAGCAGGGUGGCGUCACCACCGUCGUCCACCAGCAGGUCGGGGCCGUCGCAGCCAGCCCAGGUCAGGGCCUGCUCGGUGCACCACCAGUACUCCUCCAGGGUCUCGCCCUUCCAGGCGAACACGGCGGCGGAGUCGCGGGCGAUGGCGGCAGCGGCGUGGUCCUGGGUGGAGAAGAUGUUGCACGAGCACCAGCGGACCUCAGCGCCCAGGGCGGUCAGGGUCUCAAUCAGCACGGCGGUCUGGAUGGUCAUGUGCAGAGAGCCGGUAAUCUUGGCACCCUUGAAGGGCUGGGCGGGGCCGAACUCGGAGCGGCACGCCAUCAGACCGGGCAUCUCAGCCUCGGCCAGGUCGAUCUCCAGGCGACCGAAGUCAGCCUCGGCGAUGUCCUUCACCUUGUACUGUGGGUGGGAAAGAAUAAUAGCGGGCACGCGAGGUAAAUUGGCAGCUUCCAGCAAGCAGAUCAGUUGCCGGCGGAGAAGCGCGCGCGAAGUGACCCCAGCGUAGACCACCAAUUCAGAGUAAGCGAAGCAGUGCCGCUUGUGCAAUUGAGCACUUGCAACCCAGAAAUGCCCCGGUUGCCGGUGGGAGCGAAUAUGAUCGAGUGCUCAACAAACACAAGCCCGGACAACGGGCACUCGAGCGCACAGCGCUCCAAGUAGCUACUUCUUAUGCGCCUAUAUGCAUCUAGCUUGGGAAAGGCUAUGCGGCGGCCGGUGCCGAGGAUCUUUGCGCACCUCGCGGCCAUUGACGUGGUCGACGGAGAGGGCCAUCUUGACUGGUGUAGUAGGUGCUGUGCCUAAAGCAACAACAACCUGAAGUAAGAUGGGAAAAAGGUAAGGCAUGCAGGUGAGCGGGGACUGCUAAAUGAAGGGCGGGUUGUCCCAUUGCGCCGUACAAUGUGGUGACGGGUAUUUCCUGUGUUGUCUGUGGACCGGUUAUUGUGCUGCGGAGUUGACGACGUGUCGUGGUAGCAUGUAAGAGGCCAGCGCGCGGUGACGAAAAUCACCGUGAGAAGAGAAGAGAAUGAGCGACCGCUUCAUGUGAACCACUCGAUUAGCGCGCGCCGCUUUGCAUUGCACUUUUGUUUCCGGUCGCGGUUGGACUGGUAGCUGCGCUCAAUAUCUAUUAGAUUAGAAACGUUGGAGGCGCUUGGGAGGCUCGUCGGCGACGCGGCGGGUGGUUGCGGGGGCGCGGUUUGGCGGGAAGUGGCUUCCCAAGGGCCUGGCUUGUGCGUGUGUGGCUGCGAUUUGAGCUGCGUGCCAGUGGAGCUCUCACCGAAUUGCCGGUCCAGUUGCGCAGCGCAGCGCUGCAUCUUGAACUGUCUUGUGGUGAGGGCAAGGGGCAGGGGCGCUGCAGGGCCCUGCCUGGAGCAUCAGCGUCGCCCUUUCCCCGGCAUCCCUUUCGUCAUGGGACCUCUCGGGAACGCCUCGGUACUGCUCAGGGCUAUGGGGUACUGGCAGCCCUGUCAUGCGGUGCCCCACACGCUGGCGGCCGCAACCGCUGCCAGCGACUCCGCUGGUGGGCGGCGGCGCCGCCGGAGUGGGUGCACCGGGUGGCUCGGGCCAGGGCUGCGGCUGAGCGCCUGCGCAGGCGGGCUGUGGAGCCGGCUGCGCCGCUGAUCGAGCUAGCGUGCAUUGCGUGCAAAUCACGACAGGCGCACUGUUCCGCAUGGGUCGGCAGCCGGGCGCACGGCCAGCCUUUCAGGCAGGGGAGGCUGCGGCACGGUCUGGCGCAUGCAGAGUUGUGUUCGUGAACAUCAGGUGCCCGGGAGUCGCCCCUGAUGUAGAUUCGUGUGCAUGAAGCAUCCUUGCAUGCGUGUAGUAGUUACCGCGGGUAUUGCGUGCGGCUGUACUAGGGGGCACAAGGACAGACAAACGACACGCAUGAAUCCGCGGGCUGUAUGUGUGACUGGUGCAGCUACAGCCUGCGCGUUUCCAUUCUUUCUGUGUAAUCUGCCCCAGGCUAUGGCCCCACGCUGGCGCACCACGAAUGCAUGAGGCACGACGAAAGCAUGGGUUACACCUUGCGCAUGUGCGCAAAGCCAGCCCACUCUCCUCAGCUCUCAACCGUCUCAACGCCCAAACACAAUCACACUCGGCGCCCCAUCAUAGGCGCCCUGACGGCCGCACGCCAAUCCUGGUCUCUUCGGCCGUGGCCGCACACCACCCUUCGCAAACUGCACCUGUCAGGAAAGACGUGCACUCGCUACCUUGUGCUUGUGAUCCCUCCCAGCCCUGCCACCCUGUUCCUUCAGUCUGAUCCCUCAACCUCGGCCCGCCACCCCCGUUCUCCUCUGACGACAGCUCAUCAAGCGUGCCCAGUGGCGGGCUUGUCGUGUGCCUUGUCCUUGUGGUGCUCAAUCUUCUCCUGAAUCUUGUGCUUGGCGUCCUUCAGCGAUUUUUUGAUGUCAUCUGCAAAGAGCCGCACACACAGGUGCACAGAAAUCAAGGUGCAGCCGUGAAGGCCCAUCCCCUUCGCGCAUCCCUGGGUCGCGGUAGCCGUAAUUGAGACGAUACAUAAAAUUACAUCCGCCACCCACCCACAGCAGCAGCAGUUCCCCCAUGCUCCCGCCCGCUGCUGCCGUACGCAUCCCCAAUGCCCCAGGGCCCCACUUACCGCGGCGCUUGAAGAUGAACCAGCCCAGGGUGCCGACGGCGGCAGUGCCCAGCGCAACGAUGCCGCCAAUGAUAAGGUUGCGGCGGAGGUCCUCGUCCGUCUGCAGCCGGUUGCGCACACGGCGCGUCCCGGUCUGCGGGGGGCGGGGGGGGGCGGCAGCAGACAUGUGGGGCGUGCGGGAUCACACGGCGAUUGCUAGGGCACAGACAAGGCAGAGCGCCGUGCGGGGAGGCAGCAGCGGGAAGGGCUAGCUGCCGGCACCCAGGGAAGUGCGGGGGCGACGUGCUGUUCGUAGCAUUGCUGCUCGAUUGUGUUCUAGCACGCACAGCGGCAGCUUCGCAGGGCUACGGUUGAGCCGUCCUCGGCCACACGCGGCCAUCCUGAACCACGCAAGGCUAGCGUUGGACGCGCGCAGCUUCCGGCAAAUGCGCUCCUCACCCGCUCAACGCCUACUCCUGCCACCGGUCCCGCGGCCGGCCGCGCCUUUCUGCUCGACCCGCCGCGGGCCCCGCCGCACGGUGCUCACCUUGGCGCAGUUGGCAGUGUCCUCACCAGCCUUCUCGGCCCUGUGCGUGAGAGAGCGAGUCAUGGUGACGGCGCGAGGACGCUGACGACCACCGGACGGCUACGUGGGAGUUUUGCAGCGGCUGUGUUGUUCUGCGCUGUUUUGGGCGCGGUGUGCAAACUGCUUGUGGGCAGAAAUAAGUUACGGGCUAGGCUCCAAGCACAGAAGCGGCAUCAGAGUUCACCGGAAUGGGGGCCAAUCAAAAUGCCCCCUAGGCAGCGGCAAUUUACGCUCGGAACUAGGUCUGGCAUGCGGCUGCGACAUGAGCCGAGCAAUGCAAAUGAGGCGGCACGUGAGGCUCCAAAGGAGGCUCGGCGGCUCGCAGCAGAGCGCGCUCGACCCGCGGGCCGCAGUGGCACGAACAUCGACCGCUCCCGCACUUUUACAGCGGGGCUGCCGCUUGCCCGUGCGUGUCCGAAGGCCCCCAAUAUGUACACGCCCCGGGGACCUAAACGUACCAGGCCGGGUAGGGGGCCCGAAGCCACCGCCAAUCUGGCACGCCACGCGCUCCCAUCCGUUCUCCCAACGUUGUAUGUCGCCUUCAUCACACACCCCGAGCACCACCACACAUGCUGCACGCUACAUUGUAAAUCGGUCUGUGGCCUCAUGCUGUCACUAUGUGUCGCCACCAUGCUGUAUGUUGGUGAAAAGAAAUCGAGGAUGCGGCCACUGCGCUCCGGAAGCCCCUCCUCCUCCUCCUCCCCCUUCGCACGACGCCCACUGCCCAACAACUGGCCAACCAAGCGCAUACUAGCCAUGCUGCACGACCGCCUCCUCCCGCUCACUACGCAGACCUACGCAGCACCAGCCAUUGCCGCCGCGCCCAUCACCUCCCCCCCCGCCUACCGCAUCACAUCACACCGCACCGGACUGCUCUGCGCUGCUUUACACGUAGCGCUUGGCGCCUGGCCGCUGCGACUCCUUGAUGCGCUCCUCCUCGAUCUUCUUCUUCACCGCCGCCUGGUCCACAACCACCUGUUGCAGUGCAGCAACGGCAGCAGGGGUGAGUCAAGGGCAGCGUCACAGCACACAGAUCCUCAGCUAGGGAACGGGAGCUGGAGCAUGCAGGACACGGGAAAGCGCACCGCUGAACACCCGAACAGCGCUCUUUCGCAGGCACCGUCCCAGCACCCCUCCUCCCGGGUCCGAGGGGCCACAACUCACCGACUCGUUCAUCUGCAUGAAGCGCGUGAUGGACUCGGCGAGCUUGGCGUUCUUGAGGAACUGCUGGCGGUACCACAGCACCGUGUCCUGGUGCUGCUUGUGCUGCGUGGCCAGGUCCAGCGCGCGCUCCCAGUUGAACAGCUUGAUGUUCAGCUUGAUGGCGCGGAAGACCAGGCCGGCCUGGGCGCGGUGGGUGACAGGGGGGAAGGGAAGAGGGAGGGAGGGAAGAGGUGAGGGAUGAGGAAGGGGUGAGGAAGGGGAGGGCAUGGGAGGGAGGGCGAGAGCGACAAGUUGGGGCCCAGACCCUUACGGCCGUCUCACAUCCCAGUCACACCACCCCUACACCGCAGUACCCACCAGCCCCUCGGGUAUCGCAGCACGAUCCCACACCACCCGAAAGCAUCACCCCACAUCACCCUCACCCCCAUCCCCCCACCCCCACCGCCACCAAGCCCACCAAGCGCACGCACCUGCAGCAGUAUGGACUCGCCCUCCUCGGGCUUGCGCCGGUACACCGCCAGCUCGGCGUUGCGGCCCUCCUCCGUGGGGAUCUGCUUCACCUUGCGCACAAAGUGCGUCUUGUCCACCUCGUCAAUCGCCGCGAACGCCACCUCCGCCGUGUUCAGCUCCUUAGCCGCCAUGGCCAUCGCCGCCAGCGUGGCCCACAUGGUGGGGUCCUUGAUGAAGCGACACAGCCGCGUGGCCUUGUCCCACUGCUGCUUGCGGAUCAUGUCGUACAGUACGGCAGGGUAGGGCGAGGUGGCGGCGGAGACCAGCACGCCGUCGGAGCGGCGCACCAGGCAGCGGUUGCCGGCGAAGAGCUGGAUCUGGGCCGACUUGCCAAAGUCCGAGUCGGACUUGGUGUAGCGCGUCUUGGCCAGCAGGUCCUUGUCCACGUACACCUCGCUGGGGUAGUACCACACACACUGCGGGGGCGGGGGGGAAUGGGGUCAGGGGGUGUCAAGAGUGGAGUGACAGCUCCGUGGGGCGCUGCGAGGCGGAGCGCAGUGGUGACUUGCACAGCUGAGAAGGAGAGCGCAAGCGCCGCAAGCCCGACCCACAUCUUGGCGCCCAUCCCUUUCUCCUCUCCGUUACCCGCCAGCAGCCCCCCUCAAAACUCAUCCUGCACCACCACGCCCUCCAACCCCCCUCCCCCAUAUGCGCCACGCUCUCCUCCUCGCUCUUUCGCAUACGGCUCGGUUCAGCUGGGCUCGCAUCUACACCCCCCCGAUCUCCCCAAACCCCAUCAUUGGUUUAGUUUGGGCUGGUAUUUACAACCCCCCAUCUCCCCCCGCCGCCCCCCCCCUAAGCACACGCACCAGGCGCUGGUCCACCAUGGCGGACAGCAUGGCGGUGCUGUCGUGCCAGCGCGCCGAGUCGCACAUGGCCGCCAGCUUGGCCACGUGGCGCUUCAUGACGGGCAGCAGGUACAGGUCGCGGUUGCGGUCGAUGACGAUGAGCUGGCGGUCGUUGAUGGUGCCGGCCUGGCUCAGCGCGAUCUCCUUCACCUCCAACGUGUGCUGCCACGGCUCGCCCACUGGCCGGCCCUGAGGGAGGGGAGGGGAGGGGAUCAUGGCGGGAAGCGAGUGAGCAAGGCGUGUUUGUGGAGCGGCUGGUUAGAGGCAGGCCAGCUUCUGGUGGGCAGGCACGAGAGCCAUGCCCGCACCCGCGCCCCGGGCAGCGUAGACCCUGCCUUCCCCCCCCCCCGUGCAUGACCGAUUCAUGAAGCCCUCCGGAUCCGCUUGCCCGCCGCCGCACCUGCGCCGUGUCGAAGAAGCGCACGGUGGUGCCGCUGGCCUGCUGGUCCAGCACCGCUAUCGUGUCGUUGGACAGCGUGAUCAUCUGCGCGUUCAGCAGCUCGGUGCGCAGGCCCUGGAAGCGCGGGUUGCAGAUCUGGCGGCCCUCGUAGGUGUAGAUCUGGAUGCCCGCCGAGUUGUCCAGCAGCAGGAAGUGCCGCUCAGCCUGUGCGGGUGGGCGUGUGUGUUGGAGUAAGAGGUAGAAAGAGGGGGGAUGUGUGUGCUAAAGGAAAGCGCACCGGGAAAGGGCCGACACUGGGAGGGUGAGUGCGUGCGCGUGCGGGCCAGCCGUGUUGUUGCAGCCCGCCCCCCAGCCAACCCCCGUCCGUUCUCCAUGAACGGCCAAUCCCCCCUUCACGGUGACUACUGGAACCUAUUUCGUUGGCCUCGGGCAUACACCCCCGCCCUCCUGCACCCCGCAGUCGCACACCUGCAGCAGCAGGGUGACCGUGUCUUUGAGGUCAAAGAUGUGCGGCGUGCCCAGGUUGGUGGUGUUGUACACGUGGCACUGCGUCGCGGUGGCCACGAUCAGGUAGCCGUACCCUGCGGCACACGUGGCGGAGCGGCACCGGGUUAGGGCGCGGUACCUAGCUGUGCCUAAACAACGCAAACCACCCACCCAGCCUUCACGCCCAUCCUCGUUCUCCCUUGCAAUCAUCCCCUUGCAAUCACGCCGACGCAUCCACGUCACAAGCACCGGCCACUGGCCCCUUGUCCGCCCGCCCUCGCUCCCCCCCGCCCUCACCUAGCGACACCUUGAUGACGCGGUCACGGAACUCGGGCAGCUCGUCCGCGUUCUCGUUCAAGAUGUCGUUCACCACAAUGCGCAUGUCGUCCACCACCGUCACCUGAGCACACACGGCAGGGCCACCAUGAAUGCAUGCUCCCCUGUGUGCUCACGACAAACUGCACCUGCACAGGCGCCCUGGCCGGGCCCCGCCUUGACCCCCAUCGGCUGCUGGCAUGCCCUUUCCUGCUCUCCACAUAGCACACACAGCGCACAAAACAACCCCCCCUAGUUGCGCUUGGACAGUCACCUGCCCUCCAUUCGCCCCCACGCCCUGCAACCCCGCACCAUCACACCCCGCCUACGCUCCUUUCCCUGCUCGCCCAUUUCCAUCCCCUUUCUUCCCCUUCUGCCCCCUCCCCCCGUCCCUCUCCGCCUUUUUUUCACCUGCCCCUCCUUGACCACAUGGCCUAACGGCGAAGGUACAGAUUCCGGCAAUCCCCAGUGUACCCCAGGGGAGCACUUGGGCUGUCAUUACGGGUUUGGGUCUAGCAACCCCCCUCCCCGCCCCUCCCCUCCCCGCCCCCCUCCCCCCACCUGCAUCUUGCCGUCCUCCAGCGCCAGGUCCACCACCUGGCCGAACACCACGCCGCCGCUGCCGCCGCCGCCCGCCAGCUGCGUGCUGUCCGCCGUCCAGCUCAGAGUCAUGAUGCUGCCCGUGUCGUUGAGGUGGAUCUGUGAAGGGGGGGCGGGCGGGGUGAGGGUGUGGUGGCGGGAGCUGUUAGGGGAGGGGAGGCAGGCAGGCAUACGCGCUCGCUGGCCGCGCUGACCACGAGUACUUCCUGUUGCGUGUGCAGCCUUGUCCCCGGCCUCGUCACACAGCCCCACAACUGCUACCGAAGCUUUGGCCGCAGGCAGCGCGCCCAGCUACCUUCCCUUUCCAAGCUAUUCAUGCCCAGUCCCCUUGUCUGUGCUGGGUCGCUCUGCUUAUGCUCUUGCACCCUUGAUCCCUCUCCAGCCGUCAGCUUCCCUGCCGCAAAGCCUUGACACCAUUCCACCCACGCAUUCCACCCCUGGCUGGCUUUCCCUCCUUGGCCCUAUCCCUUGCCCAUUAUCCAUUUUGCUCGGCCUAUACAUCCCCCCUCCUCGCCCGGCCCCGGCCCUGUCCCCCACCUUGGAGUAGGCCCAGCCCAUGCGGUCACACAGCUGCAGCGUGUUGAAGCCGCCCACCGCGAACAGCUCGCCGCUGGGCGCCCACGCCACCGACGUGACCGGGUAGUCGAACAGCCCGCUCUGGAACAGCAGCCGCCCAAAGCUGUCCCACACCUGCGGCGUGCAUUCGCACGUGUCAGAGACAGCCGCCGCCGCCGCCGCGGCUCAACCAAGAUUCGCCCCUCGCCAUCCAGCCCUUCUCGCUGUGCGACACCACUCCCGCAUUCUCCCUGCCUGCCUGCCCUCCCUCCCUCGGUGUGCCGCGCACGCACACACACACACACACACACACACACGCACACACACACACACACACGCACACACACGCACAUACACACACACACACGCACACACACGCACACACACGCACACACACGCACACACACGCACACACACGCACACACCUUGUACUUGCAGUCCUCGCCGCCUGUGAUGAUGAGGUGGUUGAUGGGGCUCCAGUCCACCUUGAGCACCACGCCGUCGUGCGCCUUCCACGCGUUCUGCUUGGCGUUGGAGGACAGCGACUUGAUGACCACGUUGGAGCCGGUGCAGUAGCACAGCUGGUCGCAGUCGUAGGCCCACACAAUCGAGUACACGGGGCUGUCCGCCUGCGCUAGCGUGGAGCGCAGCAUGCCGUUGCGCGACCAGAUCUUUACCGACCCGUCCUCGCCCGCCGUCGCCAGUGCCGUCCCUGCGGGUCGAGGUGGGCGGUGGGCGAGUGUUGGGUGGGGGGUGCUGGGUACGGUGGAGGUGUGCUGGGUGGAGUACCGUAUGUGUGGGCUGGAGAGGUGUGUGUGCGUGUGCCCCUGCCCCCAGACGCACCGUCAUAGCUCCAGCGCAGCGAGAUGCACGCGCCCUUGUGCCCCUCAAUGGACUUCUCCACGCGGCCCGUGCGGCUGAGGAUUUUUACAGAGCCUGCGAGGGGAGACGCCGAUGCGUGUUAGCACUGGAACGGGAGGAGGGUCGCCAUAGUUGAGCGGCCCGCCAGGGUACCACACGGCGAGUGCAGCCAACCGGACGCACCGUCUGUGCACGCCACCGCGAAUACGUCCGUCCCGCCUGCUUGCGUCUUCUUCGAGCUCACGGGGUACCAGUGCAUAUCCGUGAAGUAUGCGUCCAGAGUGCUGACCUGCAUGCGCAGAGGGCAUACGAGGGCGCUCGGAACCACGGACGCAUGUCGCAGCAUCUCUGGCGUGGCUUCAGGUGCAAGCAAGGCACACAUGCGAACGCGGCAUGCAAGUUACCUUCUGCUCUGGCUCCCCCAGCAUGUUCCAUUUGUGAAUAGUCUGGUCGUCGCUACAAGUGAACAGUUCAUUCCAGACAUUCCAGCCCACAGCUGCUGUUAAUUCGCUGUGCACAUUCGCGCUGGACUGCUUGACCUUGAGACGCAUCCUGUCUAAGGGGCCCUGCCCCGCGGAAGAAGUUGAUUGCCGCGCCCUUGCAGUAGGCUACAGAUGCAUCGACGUGCCUAAAGGUGCCCCGCUCUAGAGCACGAGUUUGAGGGAGGUUGGUCGCAAGCGAAGGCCGCGCGCACCCGGAAGAACAAUUAGAACGAGCCCUUUCUUGUAAUUUGGCCUGGAAAGCUGAUAGUUAUGCUAUCCUCUAUUCAAUGCUUUCCGCCAGAGCUGCAGGUCGCCAAGCUAGGCUGAGAGAAGUAUGACCCCCAUGCAGUUCGCCGAACAGCCCGGGAAAGCUGGACUGAUAAUAUAAUAGCUUCUUAUGCCUGCUUGUAGGUUAAUUAAAUCUCAACGUCUGCCUUAUGUAUAUGUUGCGCUGUUUACACAGCUGUAUUGACACGACACUUGCACAACCCUCACUAUCAAUCGACAAUGUCAACGUUAAUUGCAACCAUCUACCAAUUAUGGACACAUUAGCAUAACCUCGUAGUACCAAACGCGCAGGCAAAACGAUCGGUUUAGCAAUGGCACUGGCGCGUGCGCUGCUGCUGCUGGCCCUGGUAAGACCAGGGUUUUCGUUGGGAUUGAGCGCAAAGCCUAACUCUCAAGGGAAAAAGGAAAGUUGUGCUUGCCCUCGCGGUGGCUUGCCCGCCAGACACGCGUGUCGAACAGUUCUGUGCGGCUUCAGGGCUCGUCGUCCCUGCCCUUAACCAGUCGUCUGGACCCCUGAAACCAGGCUGUGCUGGUACCACUAGGAGUCGUGACCGGUAAUUUACACGCCGGGGACGCGGGGGACGGCGAUAACCACACGCACAUCUUGUCAAAGGAGCGCAAGUUCGCGCUGACAGAGAGUGCGCCCAUCCAGCUGCGCUGUUCCUCUGCCAAGGGCAGCUGGUGUGAAGGCUUUAUAUCGCAGACGGUAGGCAACCUGGAUGGUGUCUAUGGCCUACGUCUGCGUACUGCCGUAUCAGCCAGGUGCCCUGUGGUCUGUGCUGGCACUGCCGCGGGCCGGGAAAGGCCGACAUGGGUUGUUGCCGCACCGUAUGUUGUCAAGCCGGUUGACUAGUCAGUUGGUAACAACCUUUGGCGCGUGCCGCCGCAGCCUGUCACCUGGAAGACCGCGCCGCGCGGGUCGACCGAGUGCGAGGGCGGCUGCAACAACGUGGGGCGCUGCAACUACGACACCGGCUACUGUGACUGUGCGGCGGGGUGGACGGGGCCGGGGUGCAAGACGCGGCAGAAGCGGCCGUGCACAAACAAACAGAGGUAGGGACUCAGGAAUUGUUUGGAGCGAAGAUAGGGCAGUGCAGUUGUUUCUUGUGAGCCCCCACCGGCGCCCUCGUGUUUCAUUUUGACCUCCCAUCAUCACAAGUGGUCACUCUGUCUUGUGCCUACCUGCACCAUCACCACCACCACCACCACCACCACCACCACCACCACCACCACCACCACCACCACCACCACCACCACCACCACCACCACCACCACCACCACCUCCACCUACACACACCAAGCACCACCACUUAUCGCCCUACCAAUACAUCCGCACACGUACAUACAUACACAGCCACCCCAAUGACGGCGACUUUAUCCGCACCGAGCCGCUGUCGCACACGCUGCCGGACGGGCGCGACAAGGACUGGACCGUCAUGGACACCGUGUACUCGCGAUGCGGAGGUGGGGGCUGAGGUGGGGGUCCCUUCAUCUUUUGCUGCUUGUUACCCGUACACUGCGUAAGCCUGCCCACGGGGGGCCUUGGCCCCUUCCCAAAGGGGAUCACCGCACGCUGGCUGUCCCAAUUGCGCCAGCAGUAGCGCGUGUGCGCCAGCCUACCUACCUGCUUAACCUUCCGGGACCUGCCUCCGCACAGGCAUCUGCGAUGAGGACCUGGCCAUCUGCUACUGCGAUGGCCAGGGCCCGGACCAGUUCGGCCGCAUCCCGGCGCCGGAGGGCUCGCCGCCCGGCACGCCGCCCAUCCGGUGGGGCCGGCCGCUGGUGACGUUCCACAUGGCACCCAAGACCGUGAGUGGUGGUGGGCGCUGUGCCCUGGGGCGAGGGGGUUGCCGCCUGCAUCAGGCUUUGGUCAGUAUGAUACCCUCAGGCUCAAUCGAUGUCAUGGAAGGGACAGAUGAGAGGUACAGCUGGAAAGGUCUGCAACAACGCAUGGAGGGGCCGCCCAACAUUUUUAUGCCGCCUGACCGGAAGCUCCUCAACACGCCCCAACAGACGUGGGACGGCAAGCGCGCGUUCGGCGAGCAUGACUACAACCUAGUGUACGGCCCCAAGGGCUACUGCAACGUCAGCGAGCCGGACUGGGGGCCCAACUGCGGCAUGGACAUGUUCCUGGGUGGGUGAGAGGCCUGGAGGCACUUUGCGACACUCACACACAUCCACACACAUACCAUGGAAACAGCCAGGCUGCACUGCUGGCCUGCUGCUGGGCCCGGCGUUGACCUGGGAGUCCCCGCUGCCGCCCGCAGGGCCGAGGUGCGACAUCCCCAUUGAGCCCUUCUGCCCUGGCGCCUGCAGCGGCCACGGCACCUGCUACCUAGGCUACUGCAAGUGAGUGCCGCGCAUACCAUGAUGCAUGGGGCCUAGUCCGAUUUCUUCUUGUUCUUACAAGCUGUGGCCGCCACAACCGCCCCUGGAAGCCCGCAACCAACCACAAGCACGACACUGUGUGGGUUUAUCGCUGCGGGGUCUCGACAUGCCAUGCUGUUUGCCCCGGGUGGGCUUUCUAAUGAUGAUGGGAAUCUUUCAUUUCCGCCCUGCGCAGCUGUGAAGAGGGCUACUACGGCCACGACUGCGCGCGGCGCAAGGCCGGGAUGCCGCUGCUGCCCAGCCGUAUCCCCACCACACCCUGGCUGGCGUCAGUGGUGCGCGAGCCGCCGGCGGCACUGGAGCCGCCGCCCAGCGCCACCCGCCGCCGGCCGCUCAUCUACGUGUACGACCUGGAGCCGCUGUACCAGGCGCGGAUCCUGCAGUACAGGUGCGGUUGAGACUGCCGCAGAGCUACGCAGUCCUGCCUGCCUGCAUGCCGUGUGACUUGGCACGGGUGUGAUGACGACAUUCCGGCGAGAGGCGAGAACUUAGCUACGAGGACCAAAGCACGGGCUGAUGGACGCGUCAAAGCAGGGGGUCAGGAGGUGUAAACCCUAAACCUGACUAAUCACGGUAACGUACGCAUCGUGCGUGUGCAUCGUGCAUAAACUUGCCUGCAACCCCGCCUUUCUGCUUCCGGCCCUGCCGCUGCACCCCUCAGGGUGUCUCCGCCCUGGUGUGUGUUCCGGCGCCACGAUCUACCCGCCAACCGCACCGAGUGGAGCGACAUGUGGGUGUACGCCGCAGACACGCUGCUGCACGAGCUGCUGCUGGUCAGCCCCCACCGCACCUUCGACCCCGAGGAGGUGAGGGGAGGGCGGGAAUGGGCGCGUGCGUGCGCAUGGGUGUGGAUGGGUGUGUGCCUGCGUGCGCGCAUGUACCGUACAUGCAUGUGCAUGGGUGCGCAUGGACGUGUGUGGCCCGGCGGUAGGGCCCCGGGACAGCGAGGGCAUUACCGGUAUACUUAUGCGACUUGACGAGGUGGCAACUCAGGUCAAUCAAUGCUGCUGCGCCGUGUGCCCGCAGGCCGAUUUCUUCUACGUGCCCCAUCAGGCCUCCUGCCUGCCCUUCCCCAUCGGUGAGCCUAGCGCUGCUGCUGCUGAGGAUGCGCGGGUGUGCCCGUGUCCCGGCUGCGUAUUUGUGUGUAGGGGGGGCCUGUCGCUCGCAUCCGUGACCGCCAUUUGCCUCGGGACUUACAUAUAUUCACAACUACAACUGGUGUGUGGUGCGUGUGCAGGCAACUGGGCGGACUGGCCCUGGUUCAAGGGGCCCGGGGGUGAGUGGGGUGCGGGGCGCGUUGUGCCGUGACUGUCCAUGCACCGCCCAGCCGGCUCUCCGCUGACGUGACUUCUCGGGACCCUGCACCGCCGCCUUGCUCCCAAUGUCCCUUGGCCCUAAUGCCAAAAUCCCACGCCACCGGAAGGCUCGCAACCCUCAUCUGCACACGGCCUGUCGCCCGCUGCCCGCUCCCGCCUGCCCCAGGUCCCCGCAUUCGCCAGAUGCUCAACAUGAUUAUGGAGACACGGGACUGGAUCGACCAGCACUACCCGUAGGUGCCGGUCAGGGGGAGACAACGUGUAUAUGUCGGUGUGUGUUGGGAUUGAAAGCGUGCGGGGUCGAAGCACGGGGCAUUCGGUGCCAGCGCUGGCGACCAAGCGCGAAGGUCCUGCUGCGCCGCGAUCCUGGGGUAUAUUUUGGACAGAUGGAGAUUUGUACCGCCUCUGAACGGGUACCGUAUGCUGCUGUGUGGGCACAGGUUCUGGAAGCGGCGGGGCGGGCGGGACCACAUCUGGACCUUCACGCACGAUGAGGGCGCCUGCUGGGCACCCAAUGUGCUCAACACGUCCAUCUGGCUCACGCACUGGGGCCGCAUGGACCCGGAUCACACGUGAGAUGCUGCCGCCCAUGUGCUUAGCAAACACAAGAUAUUAUAUGUGCGUGUUUGCAUAUGUGUCCUGUGGAAGGUAGUCUCCUUCGCCCCUUGCCGGCCCUUCCGUUGCUGGGCCCGGCUUCUGCACCGCCAGCCCCCACAGCGGCUGACCUACCAGGCCGGGGCCCUCCUCCCAGGUCUUUGGUAUGGAGUCUGUGCAAUGCUGCGCCCUUCCAACAUCGCCUUCUCCUAACUACUCAUGCCUGGAACCCCCCCCCCGCUUUUGUGAGGCCUGACCUCAAACCCCUGCUGCUCCCGUCUGCCCCUGCCGCUCCUCCUGCGCCUGCCGCUGCCGCCGCCCCUCCCUCUCUCCCCGCCUUUCAGGAGCAACACCGCCUUCGUGCCCGACCGCUACGACCGCGACUUCAAGAGCGCCUACCAGCCGGAGGGCUACCGAGUGCACAUGCAGGGACACCCCUGCUACCGGCCCGGACAGGUGCUUGAGAGCGUUGGGGCGCGCAGCACACGGCUGGCGCGUGCUUGUGUGGGCCUUUUGCAGGGCGUGUGUGCGUGUGCGCGGGCGCGCUUUGACUGGUGGGGCUGUGGUGCCGAAGCGCAUUCGCCCGCCUGCUGCUUGUUUCAAACCAUUACUGCGUCGCGCAACUGAACACGAACCUUGUGGUUUUGGGCCCCGACCUGCAGGACCUAGUCAUCCCAGCUUUCAAGGUGAGCAAUGCUUAUUGGGUAUCGCCGCCGGUUUUGUGGAUGCGUGGGUUCACAGCACCCUCGCCCUGUUCAGUUCCUUGGCUGUCGUUCUUACUACCCGCACCCCUUCCGCGCCCAUCCACAGCGUCCCGACCACUACCGUGCCAGUCCUCUAGCAGCCGCGACCUCCAAGCCUAGAGGUGAGCCAGGGCUAGUGGGCCGCAAGUGGCGGUGAUGCUUGCGAUGCCGACACGAUUCGCGUUGGGUGAUUGAUGUUAGGGCAGGAGUGUGGCGUGGAAAGCGACCACAACCGCGUGGCAGUACACGUGCUGACAAGCUCAUGCCGUGCCUGGCCCAUCCUGCGUUGCAGAUAUCUUCUUCUUUUUCCGAGGAGGUAGGUGUUUUGGUUUUCGGUUAGGACUGCUUCAGGGGCAAUCGGGAGUGAUGCACAUGCCUCUGCCAAUCUAUCGACAACUUUUGCCUUUACAGACGUGGGAAAACGCCGGUUACCAAACUACAGCCGAGGAAUCCGGCAGAAGGUGCGUCUCCCUGUGGACUCCCUUGCACCAGCACACACGGUCCACGGGCCCCUGCCCCCCGGGUGCACAGUUGCUGUUUGUUCUUUACCGUACCCCGCCGCCAACUCCUCUUGCACCACCACCACCGAUUCCACAUCCUCCCGCAUACCUGGGCACCUUCCAAAUAUUAGUCCAACACACACACACACACACACACACACACACACACACACGCACACACAUACAUGCACACACACAUGCACACACACACACUCACUCACACACACACACACACACACACACACACGAGCUCACACACAGGUGUACCAGCUGGCCAAGGAGGGCGGCUGGCGCGGGCAGCACCGCUUCCUGGUGGGCGACCCCGAGGAGCUGCCCGGCGACUACUCCGACAUGCUGUCCAGGUCGCUGUUCUGCCUGGUGGCCGCGGGUGAGGGGGCUGUGAAUACCAGCCCAGGCUAAAGCAAACCAAGCAAGGCUAGCGGAGCGGAGCACAGGCAGAGGCGGGCGGGCGGGCGACGGGUGGCCGCGGGGGGAGGGCAGUGACGGCGGCGGCGGCGGCGGCGGCGGCGGCGUGUGCAUUGGCGAGGCAUUGCCGUGGGCGGCUGCGGGCGUGGCCGUGGGCGGAGCGGGACCGCAGUGUCGGGUGUGUGUACGCGGAAGUCGGCUACUAUGCAGCAGUCAACUGGUCGUGGGGGCCCGAAGUGCUGAGCGGGCUCUGCCUUUGUUCUCAGGUGACGGCUGGUCUGCUCGGCUGGAGGACGCCGUGCUCCACGGCUGCAUCCCGGUCAUCAUCAUCGACAAUGUCCAUGUCGUGUUUGAAAGCAUCCUGGUGCGUCGUGCACGGCGGUUCUUGUGCGGCGGGGCUACAAGCCACUAAAAGCAUUCAUGUGGCAGCCUUCCGCUUGUCGACUAAAGCUUCAUUGGCCUGGAUCCUCAUGAACAACCCGGAUUGCACUUGUUGACGCCGCUCGCACACAUCACUUGUGUGCCGUAAGCCCGUAACCCCACCCACUGCCUGGACCCCCUCCCCCACUGUUUAUGUCACUUCCAGGACAUUGACUCCUUCUCGGUGCGCAUCGCCGAGGCGGACGUGGACCGCAUCCUGGAGAUCCUGCAGGCCAUCCCCGAGCGCAAGAUCCGCUUCAAGCAGGCGCACCUGGGCCACGUGUUCCACAGGUGGGCGGUCCAACGUGGUAAAUCACUCGGUGUGGGGGCGCAGAAAGCGGCGGCAGCUGCCAGCUGAUUGCUUGCCUUGGCGGAUGUAUGGGGGCAGCACGGCGGAUGGGACAGCACGGCGGCGGCCGCAGCGGGUCUUCUGAGGGUGGAAAGGGGCGCCGGCAAGAGCCCGGCCGGCGCGGGCUGAGCCGGCGACGUUGGCAGGUGCGGCCCGCAUGUCGCGGGUCCACACGUCGCUGUCACCGCACCCUGCACUCGGAGGACUUACUUCAUGGGGCCAACCCCAAACUCCCACAGGUACCGCUAUGCCGCGCUGCCCGGCCUGGAGAACAACCUGCGGCAGCUGAUGAACACCAACGAGGCGGCGGCGUCGGCGCCGCCCAGUCCGCCCGCACAGCGGGGCGGAAUCAACUUCGUCACUGGCAGGGAGACGAGCAGCGCGGCCGCUCACCCUGGCUUUGACAUCCACCUGCCGCGCCCCUUCAAGGGUGACCCGACAGUGGAUGACGCGUUCGCCACCAUUAUGCAAUGGCUGCACUCGCGGAUACCCGACACGCGUGGCGAAGGCGGCGGGGCAGCUUCAGGUGCGGGGCGGUGACCUUGGUGGUGAGCGGUGACGGUCCGUGUUGGUUUGAGUAUAGCUGCUGGGCUCAAACCGUAGCGCUGCUUAGUGCUGCUAACUGUAGACGAAUUCAUCCAAUAUGCGUGGAGGACUGGAAGGGGCAUGGAACGUGGUCGGGCACCUGUUGUCAUGUGAUGGGCGAUACCGCGACAGCAGGAGGGAUCACGGCGGAAGGAGCUUGCAGGUUGCAAACUGAUAAUGUCAAUAGAGCAUUGCACGCCCCGGGUAGGCGGUCUCUCUUAAGCUCUGUCGGACGUCGGCGGGGCAUAGGCUCGAUUGAACACGGGUACGAGGAAGGGGAUGCUUGCGUGUCCUGGGCGUCACUGUGUCCGCGUGUAACGUUACAAAUGUCUGCAAUACUAUUAGCUGACACAAACAAGAACGUAAAAGCAGUUCAUUUACUGUCUGCUCAGCCUGCAGCCCGUGCCUGCACUCGGACGGCAGUAGCGCGCUGUGAAAGUGGAUUUGGAUGACGAGUUCAUCAAUGAUGCAUAGAGCUUAACCUUUUGACUCCUGGCUCGAAUUUGACCUGACAUACACGGGCAGCGACAGCGAUGGCGAAGCUGUCACCGUUCGCGCGAGCCCGCUGGCGACUCAGACAAUGGUGUUUGUUACUACAAGUCACACAAUUGGUCAUCGCGGUUCAGCCAGGAGGAGUGGGCCAACUUGGCGGCCAACAGCAGGAGCGGCCGUGGCAGGUGUGUGGGAAGGUGGGCAGACGUUUCGUCAGCACCAGCUGACGCUCCUGCGCUUUCCUCGACAAGCCAGGGGGCGACGGGAAUUCACCUAUCCCUCUCAAUCCUUCCUUCAGUGCCUUGUUUGUGACCAGCCCCACACGCUCGUGCCCAUGCCAGCUGGGAGAGGACACCCCUGUGCAGACUCGUUGCGCGAAGACCAAAGGCACGUGGUGCACGGAUUUCUUCGGCCAAGCGGUGAGCUUUUACUUGGGAUUGGACGUUAAGUCACACUAGUAGCUUGCAGAUUACCAUCGCGGACGAGCUAUGGGACUGGCAGAAGGCGGGCGGGUUGUGGCAGCACCUAAAGCGGGAAAUCGUUUGCAUUGGACGUAGGUAUACAAUAGCUUACGCCCGCCUUUUGUCAACUACCGUAUGCUAUGGGCUGCAGCCUGUCACCUGGAAGACCGCGCCGCGCGGGUCGACCGAGUGCGAGGGCGGCUGCAACAACGUGGGGCGCUGCAACUACGACACGGGCUACUGCGACUGUGCGGCGGGGUGGACGGGGCCGGGGUGCAAGACGCGGCAGAAGCGGCCGUGCACCAACCACUUCCGGUGCGUAGAUCGUAGCGCCUUGCUACAGAUUCAUUGGAGAUGUGUAAACAAGCGCCACACAAGUGCCACACGGCGCAUGCACUACAUGCGUUUGCAGCUGAUGUGCAUCGGGCUGCGGAUGGGCUGGUACGGAGAUGGGGGUGGGCACCAGCAAGCUCGGACACACGGCGCGCAGCACCAUGCCCGCACAUGCACACACACACACACACACACCAAGCACCACUGCGCACGCACACACUUCCGCAGGACGCCGGAGGACCCCAGCACCGAACCCAGGUCGCACAUCGGUCCGGACAAGCGGGACUUGAAUUGGACGGAGCCUGGCGUCACGCCCAGCCGCUGCUACGGUGAGAGGCCCGGCGCCGCCAUGGGCCGGGGCGUGCGGCGUGCGGCCUAUGACUGCGUUUACUUGUAGGCUCGACUGUGCUGCGUGGCUCGACUGCAUAUCACAUGUAUCGAAUAUCGGGUACCCCGUGCGGGUACCUGCAGACCUACCAUUGAAUCCUAUGCAUCGGCGAGGGAGCAAGCCAUGGCAUGUGUAUCAGGCAUCGGGCACUGGUAGGCGCUACCCCACGCUCAACCCCCGCACACACCCGGUCACACCUGUAUGCAAGUCUGCGAGAUGUAUGACCUCUCCCACUUUGUCACCAACCCCGAAGGCGUGUGCGAUGAUGACUUGGGCUUGUGCUACUGUGACGGGCCGCUGGGGCGCAUCCCCGCACCCGACGACGCGCCGCCCGGCACACCGCCGCGGCGGCGGGGCCGGCCGCUUAUGAACCAGUUUGAGCAGCCCACCACGGUAGGCUGGGGGGGGGCUGCGUGGGUGGGCUAUGAGGGGCGGUUGCGAACAGGGCGGAGGGGCAUGGGUCCAGUGCUAAGGGGUGGGUGGAGCGCAUGGGUGGGGCGGGGCGUUCCUGGUAUUCAUAACUGGGGGCUGGUGCAGCGUUGUGCUUGACGUAUACACACACACACACACACACACACACACACACACACACACACACAUGCAUCGCAUACACUGUCUUUGCGCAACGUUUUCCUUGUGCUCUUUAACACACACACACACACACACACACACACCACGCACGCGCGCGUCGUACAUGCCAUGCCGCCGCCUUGCUGAUCCGCUGCAGACGUACGACGGCAAGCCCACGUGGGGCGGAGGGACACCCUAUGAGAAGGUGUACGGACCGGAGGUGAGCACAAGGAGCAAGACCGCAUGCUCCAAUUCCCAGCACACAUCUCGAGAGAGUCCCAAAACUCGGCACAUUGUCGUCUAUCGCUGCCGCUACUGCUGCCAAUCCAUUAUGCCACCCCGCCUAGUUGUCCCUGCCAGCACUCCCACGCUGGCAACCCCGCUGUCCUCCCUCGCCUAUUCGGAUCAAACAUAUAGCAACACGACCCGCUCUCCUUGUCAUUUGCCGUACACGUAGACUCUCGCACGCACAUUCACCUACAGUGCUCGCGACGCGCUUUCCUUGCUUGCACAAUUCUCUGCACCCAUGCACACACAGUAUCGACCCCCUCCCUGACUCCCUUCUCUUAUCACCACCGCACACACAGGGCUACUGCAAUGUGACCCAUUCGCCUUGGAAGCCCAAUUGCGGCGGGCCCGAGGACCUGGGCGGCGACUACUGCGACCAGCCCAACGAGGCAUUCUGCCCGGGCGGCUGCAGCGGGCAUGGCGCCUGCAACCUGGGCUUCUGCAUGUGAGUGGGAGUGGGGUAGGCGAAAGCCAUCCUGGUUAUACUGACACCGGGUUGUGUAUGCAUAGGCUGUGUUUUGUGUUUGUGGCGGCGGUGGUGCUGCCGGGAUGCGGGGGUGCCGGGGGUGUGCUGGCGCAGACCCCGGCAUCAGGCGCGGCUUUGGGUGUUUGAUGGUGCUGAGAUCUCCACACACUGGUUGAGCGCGCCGGCCCCGCACCCCCGCAACCCUGCACAGCUGCGAUGAGGGCUAUUAUGGCCACGACUGCGCGCGGCGCAAGGCUGGGAUGCCGCUGCUGCCCAGCCGCAUCCCCACCACGCCCUGGCUGUCACGGGAGGUGCACGAGCCGCGGGCAGCGCUGGAGCCGCCACCCAGCGCCACCCGCCGCCGGCCGCUGAUCUACGUGUACGACAUGGAGCCGCUGUACAACGCCAAGAUGCUGCAGUACAGGUAGGGACGUACAGUCAGCAGUGCAGCACGGGGUCAGUGAGCCAAAGACAUGCGCCUCCACACAUGCCCCCCUGGCCCUGGGCCCCUUGGGCCCGCUCCGCUUGUCACGCGUCAGCUUUGCCCCAUGGGCCCCGGUCCAGUUGGCAUUGGAGACGACUCGGCUCGCCCCCCCCCCCCAAACCUGCAGGUUGGCGUCCGCCUGGUGCACGCACCGGUUCUACACCAGCGGCAACGGGACUGCCUACUCGCCGUGGUGCUAUGGCGUGGAGAGCGGUGAGGUGCAGCAGCUGCUCAGCACGCCACGCCGCCAUCCGCAGGCAUGCCUUCGCCCCCGGUUGGGGAUCGAACUGUCUUGCUUUCCCCCUGCCCAGCCCCUCCACACACACGCGAGCAGGCCCCCGCCCUUUCUCCCUGCCCGGGCCGCUGACCACACUACCGCUGUGCAACAUCAACGCUGCCGUGUGCAGGCCUGCACGAGUACCUGCUUCUGAGUGAGCACCGCACGUUUGACCCCGAAGAGGCCGACUUCUUCUACGUGCCCGUGUACAUCUCCUGUCUCAUCUGGCCCGUGCUCAACUACGCCGAUUUCCCCGUCUUCUACAGCAACGGAGGUGCGUGGGUGCGUGCAUGGGUGCGCUCUAUGUUUCGCCUUACCACUGGCCACAAGGGCUGUGCCCCGGGCUGCACCUCCGCAGUGCAUCAGACGCAGGGCGCACCUGCCAUGGUGGCUCGGAUCGACACGACGCUGAGUCACAGCUGACUCACAGCUGAGUCACGCACGUGUGUACACGCCCGCAGGCACGCGUGUGAUGCAUGCCGUGAACAUGCUGUCCGAGGCGCGUGACUGGAUCGACGCCAACUACCCGUUCUGGAAGCGGCGGGGCGGGCGGGACCACAUCUGGACCUUCCCACACGACGAGGGCGCCUGCUGGGCACCCAACUCCAUAGUCAGCUCCAUCUGGCUCACGCACUGGGGCCGCAUGGAUCCGGAUCACACGUGAGAUGCUGCUGCCCACGCGAUUAGCAAACACAAGGAAAUUCCGCGCGUUUGCAUGUGUGUCCUGUGGAAGGUAGUCUCCUUCGCCCCUUGCCGUCCCAGUAUCACAUGUAAGCUUGACGGCGGACUCGGCAUUCUGUAGGGUGUGCAGGCCAGAGAAGGUGCGUGUGGCAGCGCCUGCGUGAAAGCACGGCGUGUUAUGUUCCUUAGCCGUGCUGAGCCCCGGGUACUGGUGGCUCGGUUUCCAAUUGCAGGAGCAAAUCAAGCUUCGACGCAGACAACUACACCAGGUGUGUGCGCGUGUGGGGGGGGGGGAAUCCCAAUCCCAACUAAACCACGACCCAGAACCAGCGCGCGGCGGGUGCCAGGCUGCGGGUUGCACCGCACCAUAGCGGCCGCAAGGGAUGUACGGCACAGAGUGUCGUGGCCUCGUGGGCCUUCUAUUAGGCGGGAAGGUGCAUUCAACUCAACCCUAGACCUUCCUUGCUCGAUGUGCCGCCGUGCCUGCCAGGGAUUUCGUGAGCCCCCGCCAGCCCAAGGGCUACACACAUCUCAUUCAGGGGCACGGGUGAGUGCCGCGCCCGCAACCCUGCGGGGCGCCACAUGCCAGGUUGCGCACGAUGGGCAAUGCGACAAUGCGCUUAGCUUGCGUUCGCUUGUUGCAUAAGCGUCCGUGUUUUGUCUCGUAACAAGCUGAUCGCAUCCCUCCUACAUACUCUCCUCCACACAUCUGCAGGUGCUACGAUCCAAAAAAGGUGGGUGCAGCGCCGCGACCCACUCCUCCUGUCGUCCACCCCGCCCCACCCCCCUUUCCGCUCGUGGCCCCUUGUCCACCCCACCCCAUCCCCCCCACCCCCGUUCCGCUCGUGGCCCCUCUUCACUGCGCCCUCCUGUCCGGCUAUCCCGCUCGCCCUUCUUCCACAGCCUGAGCUCGAGGCCACUCCUCCGCUCUAGCCCGCAUCGAACUGCUACUCAUUUACUCCAGCCCGCAUCAAAUCGCAGUCUCUGCCGCCCCUCAUUGAGCUUAGAACCGACUGCCGUAUCCCCCUCCUGUCUCCCCCCCUCCCGCCCUCCCCGCCCCCCCCCCCACACACACACACAAGCACAGGACCUGGUCAUCCCCAUCUGGCGCCCGCCGCUGCACUACGCGCGCAGCCCGCUGCAGGGAGCGCCCGCCAAGCCGCGGGACAUCUUCCUGUUCUUCCGGGGGGACGUGGGCAAGAAGCGCAGCAUGCUAUACAGCCGCGGCGUGCGGCAGAAGGUGCGCGCGCGUGUAUGGGUGUGUGUGUGAGUGGGUGGGUGGGUGGGUGGGUGGGUGGGUGGGCGGGUGAUUCUGAUGUAAGGGGACUGUGCCUGUGCGGACACAAGGAAAGCGCAUACCGGAAGCGAGGAUACGCACAUGCGUUGCGCGGGGCCGGGGUUGUGCAGGGCUUCCAUCGCCUAUCGCGCCAGCCCGCAGCCGGUUGGCUGUUCGGCCCACUGGUCCCGACCGAGGCGCUGCACUGCAGUCGUGUUAAUGCCGGUCGAUGCUGGAUGUUGGCUGCUCGCAGAUCUACAACAUGAGCAUCGCCAACAACUGGAGGCAGAAGUACAACGUGUUGGUGGGCGACGGCCAGGAUGUGCAGGGGGACUACUCGGACCUGCUGUCGCGCUCGCUCUUCUGCCUGGUGGCCACAGGUAGGUGGGCGGGCGGGUGGGCGACCGGGGGCAUGGAGCUAAUGCUGCCGGGCUGCAACAGGGCCCUUGUCCGCACUCAUGCGGCGGCAAGCACUCUUGCGGCUGGGACCCCGCUGCGAGCGCAGCCCUCCUUUCUCCGGACUCCUUUCUAACACAAUCACUACAAUCACCCCUGCCUGCGCUGUACAGCUGCACAUUGCCCAAACCAAACCGCAAGUCCACAUACAUCUCCCGGGACUUUUUCCUUGUCGCACACGCUCCUCGCCAGGCGACGGCUGGUCAGCGCGCACCGAGGAUGCAGUGCUGCACGGCUGCAUCCCGGUCGUGGUGAUUGACGGUGUGCACAUGAAGUUUGAGACGCUGUUUGACGUGGACUCCUUCUCCAUUCGCAUCCCUGAGGCCGACGUCGCCAACAUACUCACCAUCCUGAAGGCGCUGCCGGAGGAGCGUGUGCGCGCCAUGCAGGCCAACCUGGGUCAGGUCUGGCACAGGUAGGUGUGCACGCGUGUGUGCGGGUGUGUGUCUUGUUGAGACGCGGAACACGUGAAUACGCACUCACAAACACGUAUGAAUACAUUCCCUGCCCACACACACACACGCACACACAAACACUUGUACACACACACACACGCACACGCACACACACACAUGCGCACACACACACACUCUCUCUCACACACACUAUCACACGUACGAACUGGCAGGUACCGCUACGCCGACCUGCCCGGCAUCGCCGACACCACCCGGGCCACCCAGGCCAGCAACGCCGCCGACCCGCUGGUGAGGGAGGCGGCGGAGCUGAGCAAGUCGGCAGAGCCGCGCUUCCCGCGGCCCUUCCGCGGCGACCCCGCGGUGGAUGACGCGUUCGCCACCAUCAUCCAGUGGCUGCACUCGCGGAUACCCGACACGCGGUGAGCGUGGCGCGUGACGAGGCAGUACGGGGGUGCUUGGUACGGUAAUGGGCGUGCCGGGCAGGUCGCCAUGCAUGGAGGAUUGGGAUACAGAGCGUGGCGAUAAAGUGGUUAGGUGGUGUUGGGCUGUUUAUGCCUGGGUAGGCGGACGCGUGGUGCCGUGCGUGGUGCUGCUUUGCGCAAUACCAGUAACAAGUAUAGGGAAUGCGAGCGUGUGCGUGCUUAAGAGUAUUACUGUGUAUUAUUACUUGAUGGGGGCAUGCAUAGGAUGCGUGUUAGAGUAGAUUUCAGUAGACGAGGUACGCAGGAAUUGGCAGGAUGGGCAUCCGUAAAUCUUGGAUUCUUUCCGGCGAAGUGGCUGUGCUCAAACCAGGACGGUCUGAUGCUCCAGGCCGGGCUGAUGGUGGCAUGCUGAGUCCCGCCUGGAAGCAACGUGAUACGGUGACAGCUGCAAGCCUGCAACUACUGCUGCAGGGUUUGGCAAGCGGACACGAACUGACAUCAUGUGAUGACGAAGAACGCGUGCGCGCGCGUGCGUGUGCGUGCGUGUACGCAUGUCCAUGACUGCACGCUGAUGCUCUGGCGUCGAUCUGCUACGACUGCUAGUACGGCAUUCUUGGCUUGCCCGUGAGCACUGCGAAGUUUGAACACGGCCAGCCGCGCGCAUACUAACGUAGUUCACCUCUUCCGCACAUUGGCGCUCAAUGCUUAAACCCGUGUGCAACGCGUUGCAGCAGGGUCCCCUGCCGCACUCCGCACUUAUUCCCUACGUUACAGUGUCACCGGUUUUGCGCACUUGCUGCCCACAGCUCAAAGCCCGGGCAUAGUCCCGUGCACACACAUAUCUCUUUACCUAGAAAUUUUCCUAGAAAUUUUCCUAGAAAUGCCAGGCUUUGCCCCCUCUGCAACAAAGGAGUAGAGGAUGAACGGCAUGUUUUACUUGAGUGUGAAGCGUACACGUGUGUCAGAUCAACGUACGGUAUCAACUCUGAUUCAAUGAAGCUGGUUAUGCAAGGUGCUGACCAAUUUAAGUUGGCUUGCUGCGUACGUGAUAUUUGGUCUAAGCGCUGUCUUUUGAUUAGGCAGCACCACGACGGUGCACACGGUGUGCAAGACGCAACUAACAAUCCAGUUCCAGGAGACGAGGGGCCCUUGCGGCUCGGUUAGUCUCGUUGCAGGUAUUAGGAAUGCACACUUCCAAUCCUGUAACACACACACACAUAUCUCUCUCCCUCACACACGACCUCCGUAGCCUCAAGUCCCACGCCUAGUGCCUGGCUCCCACCGCCAGAGUCGAAGCCAGAGCGGAUACCGUGUCGCAACCUACCCACUGGAAGGCGGUAAAUGCACCGCAUGAAACAACACACACACACACACACACACACACACGGCAUCAACAUGGCAAUCCCACGCUCAUCCAUUUACCCACACAUUCAACCACACACGCUUGUCCAGGGACUGUAUCAGCAGCGCUGGGCAGCCGCCCAUGGCUUGUGUGCGCUCGGAGGCAUUCGCGCCGCCGCCUGCUGAUUGCGGGCGCUGCCGCUGCUGUGGCAUGACAGCCGUGAAAGUCCCUCAGUCCUGCCCCUGACCAGCAGCAGCGGCGGCGUCCUCGCCUGUGUGCCCAGAUGCCCGCACUGAGGGCCUGCCCACGCACCCACUGCGCCACCCGAGCGACCGCCGCUGGUGACAACACCCUGCCAUCAUGCGCGCACCACUACCUGACACGCAACCCCGCCGCCGCCACCGCCGGCCGCCGCCGCCGCCGCCGCCACCGCCGGCCUUGCCUGCCAUCCGUCUUUUACUGCAGCCAGCUUGAUUGGCGUCUUCUUACAGCGCGCAAAUCAGCAUGCCACCAAAGCUUACACACACAUCUCAGUCAGGGCAGAAUGUGCUCCGCCAGAGCGCCCGCCGUAACGAAUCCUGGCGAAGCCACAGUACCUCCGCACCAUGCUUCCCAACCUUAUGACCGUGGGAUGAACAUCCAAUCUGGCGCGUCCAACGUGCCAACUGACCUUCUGCCAAUCGAUGUCCAAUGCUCCACACACAAUGCUGAAGUGCUGUGACAUGUACACACACAUUCAAUUCGUCCAAUUUGAUGCAGGUUCCUUGUCCAAUUGACAGUACACAGUGUCGCCCUCGCCACGCUGCCACCAGCCGCUGUGUGCACACAACGCAUAGCGCUACCGUCGCAUGGGGUCCUGCACCAAGGGAACAGGGAAUACGAGCGUCAGGGCCUGGGGUUGCCACGACCCGUCGCGCGUGUCGGUGGGUGCAGCCACACCCAGCCUUGGUGCCUCCCGUCAGCAACCCUCGGGUUCCCGCGCCUGCACUCACCUGGUUUCCCCCGCCUGCUGGUUGUAGCGACGCAACUUCCGUUUUCAAGAGCUGGUUUUCGGAGGAUACGGCACUCAAGCACUUAGCCGCGCGCGCCAGCUGGGUCAGGAGCAGGGCGUUGUCUCGCCGGAGGGCGCCAACGCGUGCCUGCAGCUCCAGGAUGUGCUCCUGCACCGAGCCUCCAUACUGCAGGGGCAGUGCCAUACGUUUGUGUUGUCGCGCUAAGUUGUAAGUGUAUUUGAGGACUCUGGCACACAGAAAUCGCCAUUCUGCUAUCUGCGCAGCCCCCUCGCACCUGGGUUUGCAUCGCUGCUAGUUCGUCGAAGUUAAUGCUACAAUCAGAAGGGCGCGCAGGGUCAGUGUCGCGGGUAACAGCGACAGGUCAAGGGGCGGUCAUUCCAGAACUGCCGCUCACCCGCCGCGCAUUUGCUCUGGCAUCAUGCCUCUUCCAGCCAUUGUUGCAUACCCUGCUUAAGAGCAACAAUGAACUGAAGCGUCGCAACUUCAGUUAGUCGACGGCACCGCAAAAUUGCGCAUUCGCUAUGAUGCCUAUUAUGAUGAUGUUGAAUGUUUCAGGGAAACUUCAAGAGACUAUUUUUAAAGGCAAGACCGCGAGUGUUCGCAGAAGCGGUUAGGUCUACUGCAUGCAUCUGCGCAAACUGGCUCUCUGCAUGCAAUACCCUUGUCGCGAGUCAUUUAUACGGCACAACAUCAGUAGAUGGUACUGUAAGCAUAGGACAGGCUGAGUCGUGGUGACCUAAGGCGCGCGCGUCUCGAGCAUGUGGCAAAAGCCCAGUGCGCCUCCAAAGCAAUGCCCUGGAUUGCAGCUGACCACAAGAGGGAGGAAGGAGCUGCAGGAUGCAUAUCCGCGGCUUGAAAGCCUGUCUUUCCCGCGCAACGAUUGCGGCAAGACCGUGGAGCUGGCCUGUGGGCGCCGGCUGGGCUACUGUGAACACGUCGACCCAAACACGCCCACCGCCCAGCUGCGCAACGUCGUUCUCCUGCCGGGUACGUGAGCGGAGCUUUGGUUUGGAAGGCUUGUCAUGUGCGCGUGCUUAGUCCUGCGGCAUGGGGGACGCCGUGGCUGAUGAAAGGGCACACCUUGCCGGCACAGCACUGAACUCCUGCGCGUGGCUUCGACCCACAACCCCGUACAGGAGUGCCCGGAAGCCGUCUCUUCACUCACCCCUCAAUCACGGCCACUGGCUUUGUUCCCGGCUGGCGCCUGGUGGUGUUGGAGCGGCCAGGCCUGGGGCUGAGCGAUGCACCGCCUGAAGGCUAUACGUAUACACAGUUUGCGGCUGACUUCAGGUGGGUCGCAUGUUCACAAUACCGCAGUUGUGGUGGCAGGUGGGGUAGUGGCAUCAUAGUAUAAAGGCUAGGUGGCAGCCCGUAUCGUCCGUGGAACGGAGCAACGAACGGCCUUUCGCCAGUGGGAGUGUGGGGGCGUACAUGGGGUGACGUGUGGAGCUCGGGUGUGUGCUGACACGAGGAGCGCAUUGUAAGAACAUCAUCACCAUAGAUGUGACCCACACAUACACAUACACAUACACACAUGCGUCUUCGCUGUUGUUUCUCCUUGUGCUCUCUAACACACAUACGGUACGUAAACUGCCGCAGGGAGUUCUGUCAACUGAUGGGGCUGCGGCGUGUGGCGGUCAUUGGAUUCAGCGCCGGUACGCCCUUCGCCACAGCCAUCGCCUGCACAUGCCGAAGCGAUGCAGCAGGGAGCGCGGCGGCGGCGGGCGGGGUCACGGAUCCUGCUGCUGCCACGCUUGCAGCGGGUGCGGUGGAGGUGCAGGUGGCAGGGAGCGCUGGCGCGGAGGAGGAGGCCGGCCCGCCGGUCGUAGUUGCUGGCGUGGCUCUGGUUUCAGCCAUCGGACCCCCCGACACGCCCAACAAGCGGCAAGGCAUGGCAAUGCUGUUCCAGGUGCGAGACAGCGACGAAGAUCUAGCCGUACCCUUGAAGAAUUACAGCAAGGCUACCGUAUCCUUGACUAGGCAUUGCGAGACAAGAGUUCUCGCUCAGAGCCUGUUGCCGCCGUGUCUACGUGCGCCUCCGCAGUUCGCCUACUGGGCCUGCGCCUACGCGCCGUGGCUGGUGGGGUUCAUUGUGCGGUCGGAGGCGGCGGCGCUGCGGCGGCGGCCGGUGCACGCCAUGCGCGAGGCCUUCAAGCCCUACAGCGGCGCGGCGGACGUUGCGGCGCUCAAGCGGCCAGAGGUGCGAUUGGGCUGUGUGCUGGGGAGGACGAGCGGGCAGGCGGACGGUGGUCGGCGUCCUCUCCCCUGCUCCUCUCAAGUCCUUUCCCUACGGUUUCCAUGCAUGUUUCUUUCAUAUUCCUCCGCACGCUCUCGCACGCCCCCCCGCUCACUCCUGUGCCCACUCCUGCGCCCCCUCCCCUCUCCUCCCCCCUGGGUCCGCAGGUGGAGGCGGCGUUCCUGGAGAGCGGCCUGGAGCUGUACAGCCGCGGCCAGGAGGCGGCGGUGCUGCGCGAGAACCUGCAGUUCGCGGCGGCGCCCUGGGGGCUUGACCUGGGCGCCUGCAGCACCCGCGUCGCCAUCUGGCAGGGUGGCCAGGACCGCGGCUGCACUGUGCCCAUGGCGCAGCACCUCGCGCAGCAGCUGCGGGGCAGCAGCGGCGGGGGCGCGGGCGGCAGGGCAGGAGGUGGCGAGGGUGAAGCUGGAGCAGGCGGGGGAGGUGGAGGCGGUGGGGGCGGGGGCGGGGGCGAGGCAGGCUCUGCAUCCCCGGCAGCUGCAGCUCCAGCCAUGCAGGGGGGUGGGGCCAAGCCGGAGGAGCAGCAGGGGAGGGAGGGGCAGGAGGGGAAGAAGGAGGGGCAGGCGGAGGAGCGUGUGCAGCUGCACGUGCUGCCGGACCAGGGGCACAUGCUGUACUUUGACGUGUGGGGCCAGGUGGUGGCCUGGGUGGACGAGUGCUUGGCGAGCCGUUGACCAGCAGCUCCAGGCCAACAGAGGCGUGUUGCGAUCGGGCGUGAUGCGGGCGUGAGGGCGGUGGAGGGCGGUGGAGGGCGGUGGAGGAGGGCUGCGGGUUUGGAGGGUGGCUCAUGUGUGUGGUGCUGCUGCAGAGGCGCCGCUGCUGGGUUGGCGUGCACAGUUUGCCUGCACGUUUACUGGUCCUCGCCUUGGACGCUCCGGGCACGGUCUGCUUGUGUGUGCGUGGCAUGCACGCAAUGACAACGUGUCCGGGCACUGGGCAUUGCUGGGUGUAACACUGUAACAUUACAUGGCAUUUGCGCACAUGCCCUCUCUUUAUUGGCAUUCAUUCGCAUGCUCGUUCGCACUGAGCCAGUCCAACCUGCCCCUGGGCUCAGGUCCCCAGUCUCUUUCACGCAUCACAUACACCUCGCAUCGCCAUUUGCUCUUGGAUCACCGAUACCCUGGUCAUGUUGUACACUUCGAGCCCGCUUCACACAUACAUAACGUACUAUCGCACCGUACCUGGUCACGUCCAUGCCGUCAAUCACGUUUAAUGCAGUUCCGUACCACUCUCCAUUUCCUUGAUCACGAGCAAAGCAAGUUGCAAACGUUUUCGCAAGCGUCUCCAGUAUCGUCACGACAUACGCACCCCAUCUCCUUGUCCACUUCCGCCCUCCACAGCCCCCACCAGCCUCAGCCUCAGCCUCAGCCCCCGUACAAUCGAUCUGUCCACAACCUCUCGCUCCAUCUCUUCUCAUCUCUUAUGCCACCACCACCAGCCCCCACUGGCGGAGCAACUGCGUGAACCGCUGCACACGCCGAGCGCGCAGCAGCGCCAGCAGGGCUGUGGGCUGCGGCGGCGGCGGGCUGGUGUGGUAGCGCGCGUACAUGGGCACACACGGCCCCGCCCACGGCAGCUGCGGCUGCGGCUGUGCCUCCACAUCCUCCACCUCGUCUUGCGCCUCGUCCUCCGCCUGCUCCUGCUCCUCCGCCUGCUCCUGCUCCUGCUCCUGCUCCUGCUCCUGCUCCUGCUGCUGCUCCUGCUGCUGCGCCUCCACGGCCGGCUUAUCGCGGCGGCUGGAAGCGGCGAUGAGCAGUCGUGCGCUAGGCAUGGGCGGCGGCACACUCGUGUGGUAGCGCGCGUAGAGGGGCACACACGGCCCCGUCCACGGCUGCUGCGACCGCGCCCUGUCCUCCAGCACCUCCUCCUCCUCCACCUCCUCGUCCUCCUCCUCGACCUCCUCCUCCGCCACCUCCUCCUCCGCCUCCUCCUCCGCCACCUCUCCAACAGCGGGCAUGACGGCGGCGGGGCUCAAGGCGAGGCGCGACACAAACCCGGGCCUUGGUGAGUGUGCGCUGCCCGAGCAGGGGCGCUCAGGGCUUCCGACACCACCACUCAGCUCCUCAAGCCGCCGCAUGCGCCGCGGCGAGGAGAGUGCCGCCGCAGCCGGACUGCCAUCGUCGAUGGGGAUCAGGCUGAUUCCGAAACGGGAGGCCUUGCCCGUUCCCCUGGGUGCGGUCGGUAUCAGGCCGGGGUGUUCCCGCGAUGACACAGCAAUGAUGUCCGCAACCUCGUCCUCAAAGCGCUUGGCGGCCGCCUUGUAGGUUUCCACAUCAGGCUGGCCCAGCGUGACGCUGCAGGACGGGGGCACACGAGGAAACGAUGGGAUUCAGUUAUCUAGGCUUGCGACAGGGGCGUCUGGAAAGUCCGGGUAAGUGGUGCCGAGGGGGCAAAUGAGCCCCGAAGCUGAGUGUCGGAGUCGGAAGCGUGCAUGCCCACGACCGACGGUGCGCGAAGUAACCGACAUCAGCCCGAACUAGCACCCAGCUCCCGACAACGAAUCAAUUGGUGAGCAUGACAUUAUAACUCACAUGGUGAAGCCAUCAGGGCUGGCGGGGCGAGUCGCCAGUAGCGACUCAGGAGAGCAGGUGGCGAAAGGCCUGUGCCAGGAGUGAGGGUGUGAGAGUCAUCUCCGCACGUAAUUCGUCCACUGCAAACAACUCAGGCCCCAGUGCGCAGGCUUGCGAAAAGCUCGAAGGCCACUUACCCGCUCUGCGCCCCGGGCUGCGACACAUUACAAGUGUCGUGACGCUCCAUUGCUACUGCCAUACUGAAUUAGCCUUUGAGGCAACUAGUACACAGAAAGAGAGUGUGCCCGGAGGGGAACUGUGCAAGCGCGCUGGUUUGUAACAAACAGGCUGUAGGAAUCUGAUGGUACGUGAUGUGCGUGUAAGUCUUUGCGCCAGUACCAAAUUGUUUUAGUAGCCUGGGUUUAGAGAGGGACUGCAACUUGCCAACCCUUGGCAAUGGGAAAAGGCCGGUUCCCCAUUCCGCAAAGCUACAGCCCAUAGCUGCUAUGUUCUUGCUACACAGACUGGUAGCUUUCCAAACCUGCUUAUGUGAGCUAGCUGCGGUUGCUGGUAGCGCAAGUUUCUUUGCCCCUGUGCUGGACUGGCCCUGCCUUUCAGAUUCUGUGCAGCUGGGAUAAACACAUCCACCACUUCAUUAUGGCUAACAGCACAGAAGCAGGGGUAGGCAGGCAGCGGCGCUGGGGCAGUCAAGUUGGCGCCAAAGCCCUGGCCCACGGACCAUCCUGCGCAGUUGACAAUAGAAAUACAGCAGGGGUUCAACAUAACAGGUGUAUGGGCGCUGCUCCUCCGCGGCGACCGCGUUACGGCCCGCAAGCAAGGCGCUUCCUAGGCCGGCCUGGACAUGGACCGCGGAGCUGUAGUAUUAGAAAGCUUAUGGAGCUGAGUUAACUGCGGAAGAGUGCGUCCCGAGCCCAGACUGCUUGCGCGUGCGGGCGUCUUGUAUGACCCACGGAGCCCGCGGGAGGGCGCUGCAGCAUCAGGCGCAAGUGAUUGGAGGUGAAUAGGUGACCCAGGGAAAGGACAGAACACGGACUUGCUGACGAAGACGAAGCCCGCAAGGAAAGUCGGUUAAAAAUGGCACUGUCGGGCCACGUAACCGCUUGCAACUGCCGCUGGGCUGGCUGGCUGGGGCAGGCUGGGGCCCACGCGGUGGACACAAACGCCGGCGUCGUCAUUGGUGUGCCGCCUUUGAUUUCGCACAAGCUGGCGGAAGACUAGCUGAGCUCUGCUGACCCCCGGGGGCUGCACCGUGGGCUUGCACCAGUCCGCCGCGCCCAGGCAUGCGUGUGUAUCUGCUGAUGUGGCUCAAGGAGAUGUAGGGCAGUAAGAACUACGAAGGUCACGGCUCGCAGCGCUGCAGGUCUGCAUGGGUGGAGAUUGGAGACGGGAGGGCGCUGCAGCGCGUGGAGAAAGCAAGCAAAAUAGCGGUGCCUGGAAAUGAUGCAUCGCCGAACGGACCCCGGGAAAGCUGAGCGUGUCCAAGCUGUUAGGUGUCUGAAUGCCCGCCGCGCGUGUUUGGGCCCCGUCCACAGCUGUUGAGAAGCGACCGGCGUUGGCGCGCCUGCUGCACCCGCGCGCCUGCUGCGCCCUCGUGGCUACUGCACCUGCCGCACCUGUUGCGUGGAAUGGCACUCAUUACCUUAUGCAGGCACCUGGCGCCGGCCUGCCAACUUCGAUGCACGGCCAUGGGUGCCGCGCCUGCCAAAGGCUGUAGUUGGCUGUAGCAGGUGGCAGCAGUGGGCAGGUGCCGCGAUGUGGAGUUUGCGUGGCCGUCGUCUUCGGUGGUACUGGAGCGGGGCUGUCUACAGGGCGCAUAUGUGCCACAAAGCUUGCAUGGCGUGAGACUAGGUGCUGCGAGGUGGUGCAGCGGAGAUUUCCAAAGGCCAGGCAAAGGGCAUGUCUCUCCUGUGCAGUGGUGAACCCAUGCUUCCACUGCGGCAUUCUGAGGGUUGAGGGGUUGGGUACGCGUGCCAGGAGGUACCUGGAGGUACAGUCUUGACGGACGCCGCCUGUGCAUCCCCGUCAACCUACGGUGUGCCACGCAUGCACCAUCCCCCAUGUGCUGCUAAUCCCUCCUCACUUCAUCCCACCCACGCAUCGUCGUGCUGCGUGAGGCGGUGGGCCAAGCACAUCCCAAAAUUACAUUUGUCCAAGCGUCCACGAAUCACGUCAAGCACAGUCAAAGUGCCUCACUGCCCAGCCCGCCGCUGUCCUUGAAAAUUGCGACAAGAGCCAGGCAACCUCCUCGCGCACCACGCACCCCCCCCAGUAGUCACCUCGAUAGUGCAUCAGCUCCAUGGGAAGAAGCCUCAGUUUGCACCCGAAACCAGCUGCUCACCAACAAACCACUCACCCACACAAGGUCACACGGCUGGGUCACACCUGCUGCCUCGUAACAAACGUCAUGCGACACCACACCACACCACGCGGCACGUACUACGGUCACACGUUUCCCGGCACACCCAGAUCUCGGGGCCAAGCCCGUCAACAGCAGCGCCAGCGUCCUCCUCGCCAGGGCAGCCCUUGCGCAGGUCCCCUUCUUUCAGGCCCUCCUGCUGCUCCCUGCCAGGGGCUGGCCAGUCGACACCAUCACCACUAGGCGCUUCAGUAUCAGGCAAGCGCUUAGUUGGCCUCGCUCUGGAUCUGCUCGCGCAGCACGGCCACCACCGACUUGAAGGCGAACCUGCAAGAGCGCACACACGCAAACACACAAGCCCGCGUUAGACCUCCGGGCACGACUUGAUGCACUGAACCCGGAACCUACACCGCUUCGGCUUGCUGUCAUAGGCUGUGCGCCAGCUACAAGACUGGAUAGGACACGUGGCUCCACUGCGCCAAUCUCCAGCACACCCCAAACCCCUCGCCACGGCGGCCUGACACGCUCCGCAACCCGGUGCCCUCCUGCUCCCCCUCCCUCGGUCCUCCCCGUCCCUCGCGGCUCUCCCUCCCUCGCUGCUCCCCCUCCCUUGCUCCUCCAACUCCUCGACCCUCUCCUCCAGCCCCUUGCCCCCAGCCCCGGCACCCCCGCCAGCCCUGCACGCACCACUCGGGGAUGUCGUCGCCGGCGCGCAGCAUCUGGCGGAACUUGGUGCCGCUCAGGUUGAGCACGUGCAGGUUCUCCGCCUUGGCGAUGUCUGCGGUGACGUAGCCCUUCUCCUCGGUGUAGGCGAUGUUGAGGCUGGCAACGGUCUGCAUGUUCAGCUCCGCCGCGUGCUUGUUGGCCAGGUCCUGUGGCGUGGGGGCGUGUUGGAAGUGGUGCGGGGAACAGGGAGGGCGGAUUGUUGGUGGCGGUUAGCUAGGUAGGCUCCAUGGUGUGAAUGAUGUGCACGGUAGCCGUGCCGGGUGCAGCUCUUGGUUGGCCGCGGGGCGCAGACGAGCUAGGGGUCAUGGCGCUGAGGGGCUCGCUGUGGCCGCAUCGGCUGCUGCGCUCUCCAACGACUGUGCACACGAGAUGUCCUGCAUUACAUGUGCUGCUCCUCCAUUCACUGUGGCCGGCUCCGUUGUGGCUGUGGCUGUGGCAAAUCCGCAUGACGGCUCCCAUCCCACCAAGGUCCUGCCUCACGCCCAAAUGUCCGGGCCCUCUGCCAUGCGGGACCUUCGCCGCCCUCGUGGUGUCCCCAAGCGCUGCCUCGCAUGUUCUGGGUUAUGCGGCGCCGCGCACCCACGCCGUUUCCUGCUCGCCUUCCAGCCGGAAGUGCUCACAUGACCACCCGCCCCGCCGCGAAGGCGGCUCAAGUGCUGCGCGCUUCCGCCGUUGCCACAUCCCAGCUUGCCACCUCGCAUCGCUGUUUCCUUCCAGCCCUCGGCUUAUUCAAUUCUUGCUCUUGUCCUUGUUCACUGACCUUGCAUUCCUCGUCCAUGCCCGCUCCUCCUUCCUUCCCAAUCCCACUCCCUUGCAUCCCUCACCCCUCCCGCUCUCUCCCUUUCAACGUUUCCUCCGCCCCUUCUCCCUUUUAACGUCCCCUCCUGCCCUCCACCUCCUCCCCUUCCCCUCCUCCCCUCCACCUCCUCCCCAUCCCCUCCUCCCCUUCCCCUCCUCGCCAGCACCCGCAGCCCGCCCUCACCUGGGCGUCGUAGGCGCCGUAGAAGUCCUGUCCGCUGAUGGACGACUUGCAGCCGGCCAUGUCGCGGCCGAUGAUGAAGUGCGUGCAGCCGUAGUUCUUGCGGAUAAUCAUGUGCUGGAUGGCCUCACGGGGGCCGGCCAUGUGCAUGGAGUAGGGCAGGUAGGCCCAGCGCAGGCGGGGGUUCUUGGUCUCCUCCUUCAGCACCUGUGUAGGCAUGUGCGCAUCUGGGUGAGCAUGCGCUUGUGCAUGGGCACGGAAAUGAAACGUGUGCGUGUGUGUGUGUGUGGGUGUGGGUGUAAGCGGUGGUGGUGGUGGUGCGAAUGACGCGGUCCACGUACACUGUCGUGCUGGCUGAAGCGUUUGCCAGUUCCUUGCCUCAAGACUGUGUGCACAACGCUGCGCCGGUGCUGUGCUGUCCUGCCGGGUCCUGACACGGAAUCUGCUGCCGGACCCCCGCUGCGCCGUGCACCCGCCUCAGAAACCGGCACCAAAGCAGCCCGCCGUCUCCGUAUCGCGGCCCGUAGUACGGUAGGCGGAUUCGCUCACCCCCGGCCCGGCCACCGCGACCCAUUUGCCAACCUCCAGCGCACACCCACCUCACCUCGCCCUGGGCCUUUGCGCACCCUCCCCUAUCAGUCCAUCCCGCCUGAUCACCUACCCGAGCCUCGCCGCCUUCCCACCCACCCGCCCCUUCCCUGGACGUCCCUCGCCAUCCUUCCUUCGCCCCUCCCCGCCAUCUCCACCUCCACCGCCCCGCCGCGUCCCCUGCACCCACGCACCUCAUAGGUGCGGAAGCGGACCACGCCGGGGAUGUCGUCGUCCUGGGUGGGGCCGCAGGUGGGGUGCACCAGGCACACGGCGCCGGGGUUGCGCACGUUGGGCGCGUCCAGCGCGCGAAUGAACAGCUCGUAGUGGGCCUUGUGGAUGGGGUUGCGGCACUGGAAGGCCAGCACGUCCUGGUUGGCAGGCAGCGUGGAGCGCACGUCGGCGGGCGAGGCGCAGGGGAAGACGCGGGUGGGCAGGGCCAGGCCCUUGAUGGGGCCGCCGAUGUAGUACUUGCCGCGCUCCAUGGCCACCAUCUGCACGGCAGGGUGCUCCAGCGAGGAGGUGCCGUAGCACUUGAGGCACUCCAGCGGCUUGUUGGGGGUGAACUUGGAGUCCACGGUCAUGACCGCGAGGUCCUGGCCCUGGUAGGUCAGCAGCAGCUUGUCGCCGGGCACGAUGUCCUCCGAGUCGGUGUCCAGCACGAUGGGCAGACCGAACAGCAGGCCGUUGGUCAUGCGCAUGUUGGCGACGACGGAGUCGUACUCCGCCUUGUUCAUGAAGCCCUCCAGGGGGGAGAACGCGCCCACGGUCAGCAGCUCGACGUCGCACGCGUUGCGGUCGCUCAGCUCGAUGCGCUUGUUGCAGGCAGCCUUCAGGGCAGCGUGCUCCGAGGCAGGCGCCAUCAGGUUGACCAGCUUGGCAGCGGGGCCGUGGGGGACCUGCGCAGGCCAGCGAGAACACGUUCAGGCCCAAAUGUGCACGCCAUGCAACACUCGAGUCGCUUGCAGGCGCGAUCCCUCGGUCAAGAGAGCGAGUGCAUUAAUCGUAAUUGGUCCUCACUGUAAC
rnacentral:lncRNA from 1 species